GAAGCAUUGUGGCUGGAGUAUCCUGAAGAGCAGGAGAGGGAACGCAGAAAAGCCUGUAUGGGCUCCCGGCGACCGCCGGAGCACUGGCUAGGAGGCCACCGCGAUCGUGCAGGAGAGAGCUGCUGGGGGCUUAGACCCAGGCUGUGAGAAGUGGGCUGAUUCUGGAUUCAUCUAGAAGACAGAGAACACAGGAUUUCCUAACGGAACGGAAUGGAUGAAAAAAACAAACACCCCAGCACCCCCUCUGGACAGACACUGCCACGCAGAAGGUCAACUUGGAAGUGAAUGGUUCCUUGAGCCCCUUAGAAACAGGAACCUCACUCAACAGGAUGCAUCCCUGAGCCAGGGCUUCUGGCUUAGCAAGA